UACAGAGGGUGCAAGCGUUAAUCGGAAUUACUGGGCGUAAAGCGCGCGUAGGCGGCUAAUUAAGUCGGAUGUGAAAUCCCCGCGGCUUAACCGUGGAAGUGCACCCGAAACUGUAGAGCUAGAGUCCCCGGAGAGGAUGGUGGAAUACUUGGUGUAGAGGUGAAAUUCGUAGAUAUCAAGUGGAACACCGGUGGCGAAGGCGGCCCAUCUGGGACGGUGACUGACGCUGAGACGCGAAAGCGUGGGUAGCAAACAG
rnacentral:rRNA from 1 species